CCUACGGGAGGCAGCAGUGAGGAAUAUUGGUCAAUGGACGAGAGUCUGAACCAGCCAAGUAGCGUGAAGGAUGACUGCCCUAUGGGUUGUAAACUUCUUUUAUAUGGGAAUAAAACGUUCCACGUGUGGGAUUUUGUAUGUACCAUAUGAAUAAGGAUCGGCUAACUCCGUGCCAGCAGCCGCGGUAAUACGGAGGAUCCGAGCGUUAUCCGGAUUUAUUGGGUUUAAAGGGAGCGUAGGUGGAUUGUUAAGUCAGUUGUGAAAGUUUGCGGCUCAACCGUAAAAUUGCAGUUGAAACUGGCAGUCUUGAGUACAGUAGAGGUGGGCGGAAUUCGUGGUGUAGCGGUGAAAUGCUUAGAUAUCACGAAGAACUCCGAUUGCGAAGGCAGUUCACUGGACUGCAACUGACACUGAGGCUCGAAAGUGUGGGUAUCAAACAGGAUUGGAUACCCUUGUAGUC
rnacentral:rRNA from 1 species